AGAAAGAGAGAAGUGGCAGAAAAAAGGUCUUGACGGCUACAGGGGAGAAAAAAUUUCACCAUUCUUCGAUUGGCCGCUUGGGUAGCCAAACAAGCUCUGUUUUGCAUGAAAUUUUGAGAAAGAAUUCUACUCGACGCAAGGAACGUUUCUACAGUAGUUGAUUUUAUUUUUAAUGGUCUGAUUUGUAGAUAUGUGGUAAGGAAACUUAACCCUAAAACUUUAAUUAAAUGUUUUUUUCUUGAAAAAAAAAUUAUACAUCUUGUUGUUAGGAGUUAAAUAGGUAAUAUUUGUAAUAUGAGAAAUUUUAUUGGAUAACUUUGGAAUAUUUUUGGAAUUUUGGUGAUGAUGGAAAAAAAAAAUUGGUUAAUAAAUGAUUGCAUUUGGGUUGUUAAAAUUAAUGGGAUUGUUGAGAAUAAUUGAAAUUGUAGUAUAAAUUAUAUUUUAUUGAUAUGUGGAUUUUUUAGAAUUUAUUGGAAUGUUUUUAGCAAUUUUAUUGUGGAAAAAUAAUUAUAUUAGAUUAUUGAAAUUAUUGGAGUUGUUGGAAAAUUAUGGAUUUUUGGUAUCGAUUAUGUUUAAUUGAGAUUUGAAUUAUUGGAAAUUUGUUUGGUUGCUUUUGGUAAUUUUAUUGUGGAGCAAUAAUUAUAUUUGAUUAUUGGAAUUAUUGGGGUUAUUGGAAAAUUAUGGAAUUGUGGUAUGAUUGUAAUUUCAAUGAUAUUUAGACUAGUUGAAAAUUUAUGUGAUAUUGGUGAUACUUUUGAAUGAGAGUAAUUAACCUCAUGGCAUUUCAUUUGCAUCAUGGUUGUGUGAAGGAAUGAUAAAAAUUGUGAAAAAUGCAUUAAAUGAAAAAUAAAUAAAUAAAUAAAAUAGUAAUGAAAAGUAAAGGUUCAUGUGAGGCGAAUCAAGAAGGGAGUGAGAUUCCUAGGGUGAAAUACCCAAAAGUUUACCCCGGGAAGACUCCGAAUGAGGAGUGUAUUUGGGUACGUCCUAUCCUUUGAUGAAAGCCCGAGAACGACAGUGCAUUGUAUGACUAUGUGUCACAUGUCCAUGUGUAUUUUAUUUAAUUGUUGAAAAUUGUGGAAUUAUUAUAAUUAUAAAGAUUAAAAAUGUGGGUGAUCAAUGCUGAUGGAAUGUUUCUUUUGUGUUCAUUUGAAAUUUAGUAAUCCACAUUAACCCCUUGGGUGUUAAGCACCCUACUGAACAAUGUGGAAUGCUCGCCCCUUCCUUUUUACAUUUUUUUAUAUGCAGAUGUCACUCCUGAGGAUCCACAAGUGGGGUAGGGAGGACUUCAGAAUGCCCUAUGAGGUUUUGGAGCGGCCUAGUGGAGUGUAGUGUAUUUGUUAUGUUGGCUAUUUUGGGACUUGUAUUGACAAACUUUGAAACUAUAUAUUUGAAAUGAGACUUUAUUCAUAUUAAUUUGCUCAACUGUGAACUCUUAUUUCUAGACUUUAAUAAUAAUUAUUAUAUCUGGUUGCUCUUGAGUAGUGGUUAGUAUGUUGAUAAAUUGGAUUGUUAGUUGGAGGAAGCUCUAGUGUGAUUGAGUAGAAAAAUAAAAUUCAGAGUGUUUUGGUUGACUGCCAACGUGGAUUAGGAG
rnacentral:lncRNA from 1 species